rnacentral:lncRNA from 1 species
GUUUCGGCCGAGUUUCGGCCAAAAAUCAAGUUUCGGCUGCAGUUUCGGUUUCGGCCAAAAUCGGCCGAAACUUUUGCCGAAACCGAAACUUAUCUCGCAAGGUCACGCACGUUCGCCUAACUUCGUUUUCCGCGGCAAAGCUGUGUCGUAAGCCGUCGGCUCUGUUCGGGAAUCAUCGUGUGCCGUUCGGAUAGCUCCGUAGUAAUGCAAUAAAACUUAGUCAGUGCGUGUGCGUCCGACGGAAACAUUAUUUGGAGGUUAUGUUUUGAUGAAACUGAUAACAUAGUAAAAUGUCACAACGAGAAACAAAUCCGAUUUGGCAGUACUUUGAUAAAAGUAUCAGUGAUACAUCAAAAGCUGUUUGCAAGUAUUUAUUGUAUUAAAUAAAUGAUUACAAUACCUACAACAAACUGAAUUAAUAUACUGUGUUUCCACUUCAUACCCUAAUUAAUGCAAAAUAAUGGUAAAAAACACCAAAUUUCAGUAUUUUAAGAAAUUUUAAACUUGACCAUGUGAGUUUCGGUUUCGGUUUCGGUUUCGGCCGAAACUGAAGCCACGGCCGAACAUUCGGUUUCGGUUUCGGUUUCGGCUGGAAAACCAGUUUCGGUCGGACACUAAUU